GAACCUUACCCACCUUUGACAUGUACGGAAUUUGCCAGAGAUGGCUUAGUGCUCGAAAGAGAACCGUAACACAGGUGCUGCAUGGCUGUCGUCAGCUCGUGUCGUGAGAUGUUGGGUUAAGUCCCGCAACGAGCGCAACCCUUGUCAUUAGUUGCUACAUUCAGUUGGGCACUCUAAUGAGACUGCCGGUGACAAACCGGAGGAAGGUGGGGAUGACGUCAAGUCCUCAUGGCCCUUAUAGGUGGGGCUACACACGUCAUACAAUGGCCGGUACAAAGGGUCGCAAACCCGCGAGGGGGAGCCAAUCCAUCAAAGCCGGUCGUAGUCCGGAUCGCAGUCUGCAACUCGACUGCGUGAAGUCGGAAUCGCUAGUAAU
rnacentral:rRNA from 1 species